rnacentral:tRNA from 1 species
ACCUCGUUAGUACAGUGGCCAGUAUAUCCACCUGUCAGGUGGAAGACCAGGGUUUGACUCCCCGACGAGGUG